GCCCAGCCGGCCGAGCGCAGAGGCGUAAACUAUCGUUCGAGAAAGCACAAACGAGAGCUCUGUGUACGGGGAGUGAGUCGGCAAGUUCCGCUAGAUGGUGUCUGCUUCCUCUCUUCGUAUCCAGGCUGUACUACACAAAGAAGCUGGAAUGUACACGCGACCCUCCGGAGGCCGCGCUCUAGUCUGCACUUCCUGUCUUUAAAAAUGAACUCUGACAGGGGGGGGGCUCAUAAACUUUGGGGGGGUGGAUCAUGCUUUCAAACCAAAGGAGGUGUCGGACCAAAUUCUGAAGGGCUGUCAUCUCUUCCUGUUCUCACAUUCAGCUGAUUACACUGAGCCAGCUCAUCCGUCACUCAGGUCAGUCAAGCUUAUGUUUGUAGUUUUCUCGUAAGUUGAGCAGUUGGUUAGAACGCCCUGUUUUGUGUGGGAGGGGAUCCUGGAGCCGUACUACGACGUCCAGCCGCACGGAUUUCGCAGCCCACUCUUUGUUUGGUAGGGGGUUUUAAAUUCUCUUUCCUCGCAGGUUAUAGCGUUUCUUUCAGGUGUUCUGUGCGGGGGGAGAGAGGCUCCGUAAAAUGGAGUGCAACCUCUACCAACCCUGUUCUAUCUGCUCGUACCGACAGGGGACUGAUUUGCUAAUGGACUUUACCUUUUGCGAUGUUGGGUAGACUACCCGCUUGGACGUGCUUCGCGCGUGCUUCGUUCUCCCGAGUCCAACCCCAAAAGCUUCAAUCUGAGCAGAGUGGUUAAUGCAAACUCCUCUUCGAUGUCCUCAAGCAACUUAUACAAACCCC
rnacentral:lncRNA from 1 species